rnacentral:lncRNA from 1 species
GCAAAAUUGAUAUACCAUGGAAGAAAUUUGAUUAGUAGCUCCAUUUGUUGGGGGAAUUAUGACUGGGAGGGAUGUAAGAAGGGUUUCUGGGGUUCUGGUACAGUUCUGUUUCUUUAUCUGGGUGGAGACUUUCGUGCGCGUCCAUGUGAAAAGACCACCAAACAGGCUUUGUGUGAGCAACAUGGCUGUUUAUUUCACCUGGAUGCAGGCAGGCUGAGUGCAAAAAGAGAGUCAGCGAAGGGAGAUAGGGGUGGGGCCAUUUUAUAGGAUUUGGGAAGGUAAUGGAAAAUUACAGUCAAAGGGGGUUGUUCUCUGGUGGGCAGGGGUGGGGGACACAAAGGUGCUCAGUGGGGGAGCUUCUGAGCCAGGAGAAGGAAAUUCACAGGGUUAAUCCCUCAGUUAAGGUGGGGCAGGAACAAAUCACAAUGGUGGAAUGUCAUCAGUUAAGGCAGGGCAGGGCCUUUUCACUUCUUUUGUGGAUCUUCAGUUACUUCAGGCCAUCUGGAUGUAUACAUGCAAGUCACAGGGGAUGCGAUGGCUUGGCUUGGGUUCAGAGGCCUGACAGAGACCAUGUGGUUUUUUUCACUUUGGGAAAAUUUAUCACACUAUACACUUAUGAUCUGAAUACGUUGCUGUAUGGUUGUGUUUACUUAAAAC